UACGUAGGUCCCGAGCGUUGUCCGGAUUUACUGGGUGUAAAGGGAGCGUAGACGGUUGUGCAAGCCAGAUGUGAAAGCCCGGGGCUCAACCCCGGGACUGCAUUUGGAACUGUGUAGCUGGAGUGUCGGAGAGGCAGGCGGAAUUCCUAGUGUAGCGGUGAAAUGCGUAGAUAUAUGGAAGAACACCAGUGGCGAAAGCGGCUCUCUGGUCUGUAACUGACGCUGAGGUUCGAAAGCGUGGGUAGCAAACAGG
rnacentral:rRNA from 1 species